rnacentral:tRNA from 2 species
GCCCUUAUAGCUCAGUUGGUAGAGCACCUGAUUUGUAAUCAGGGGGUCGCGGGUUCGAGUCCUGCUGGGGGCA